UUUUAGAGUGCUGAGCACAAGCUGCAGUUUGUUUAAUAAACCCCCUCUUGUGAUUUACAUUGUUGGUCAUUGUUUCAUCUUUGGGAUGGAAUCACCAGGCACUUCAUAUGGGGAAUCAUCUCAGGAUCCCAUGACGGAAACUGAGUCUUACCAACAGAGGGAGGGGACCCCUGUUGUCUGGGCAACUCUAGACAACGGCAUCUGGAACACAUCACAUCUCUGUGGAGGAUGGUAGGGUCAGCCAUCCGCUCUGGACCUGCUUGACCCAGAUCACUCUCCUGAUCCUGACCUUCCCUGACCCCAGAUGAUCUCCAGCCUCUAAGCCAGAUUGCCUCAGACCAGCCCCAGGACCCAGGCUGCUGGUAGCCGCUCCUGUGCCUUCAGGAAUCACAAAUCAACUGUGGAUCAUGGCCAGAUAUGAAGAGGAAAUGGAUCUCAUUUUGAAUUUCAGGAUGAGAAACUUGCUACCUCUCCAAAUCCAGAAAGUGAACUUUUUUGGAGAAAGCACCAUGAAGAUGCCUCCACAGACAACAAGCUGCACUAGAAGAUCCAGAGUGAACUUUGGGAUGUGGUGAUUUGAACUGUGUUGGGUUUGAAUGCAUUUGUUUUGUAUGUAUACUCUUAUGCCAAAGGGGACUGCCUCCUAAUUGCUUUUUGUCAAUGUGCCUAGCAAUCUUUGGUUUUGUUCUCUUUUCCUCUUAUUCUCAAAUUAUUAUAAUUUCAAAGUUGGUAUGUUUAUAAGCCCCAUCUGAGAGACUAGUCUUCCUUGGGCCUCGGGAGGGGGGAUGUAAAAUGGAGAUUUUGAACCCUAGAAUUCAAUCCCCAGAAGUCCUUGCUGUUUCCCAGAAUUCCCUAUAAUUUCACCUGAGGUCUCCAUCUGGGUGAGAUCACAAUUAGUAUUUAACUGGCAGUAAUUCCUACCUCUCUCUCUUCCAUUGCAAUGAUGUAGUAAGUAAGCUUUGAAUGGGCUAAUGAGCCCUGGGCACGUGGUUUCUUAUUUUGUAUUUUCUUUAUUCCUUGAUUUUCAAAUAAUCAUUAAUAAACCUCUUUUACAAUAUAAUGUUUUAUUACUA
rnacentral:lncRNA from 1 species